rnacentral:lncRNA from 1 species
CUCGUCCUCUGUCGUCCCCUUCUCCUCCUGCCUUCAAUCCUUCCCAGCUUCAGGGUCUUUUCUAAGGAGUCAGUUCUGUGUAUCAGGUGGCCAAAGUAUUGGAGCUUCAGCUUCAGCAUCAGUCCUUCCAAUGAAUACCCAGGAUUGAUUUCCUUUAGGACUGACUGGUUCGAUCUCCUUGUAGUCCAAGGGACUCUUAAGAGUCUUCUCUAGCACCCCAGUUGGGGCUUGUUUACCUGUGUAUAAAGAUGAACACUCGGAUUCUCAUAACAACUCUGACUCACUCUCUCUGUCUCUUUUUCCCCCUCUUUUAGGCCACAUGGUGCAACAUGUGGGAUCUUAUUUCUGCAACCGAGGAUCGAACCCUUGUCCCCUGCAGUGGAAGUGCAGAGUCUUAACCACUGGACCACCAAGGAAGUCCUUCUCUGCGCCUUUCUAUCUAUCUACCUAUCUAUAUUUCUCUAUCUAACUAUAUCUGUAUAUCUAUAGAGAGACAGAGAGAAAAGGAGAGAGGGAGAAAGGGAAAGAGGACUUUAGGGAAGGUAGCUGUGUGUCUGGGCACAAGGUCUGGACUUGGGAGUAAAUAGCCCUUUCUGUAUUUUGAAUUUUGAAUCAUGUGACCAUUUUGCCUAUUUAAAGUCUCAUUCAAAUUAGACGUAUCUGUUUAUCAUUCUGAUCAUUCUGUCCUCCGGAUGACCUGCAAGAGAGAGAGAGCAGCUAGGCUCCCGCCCACCUGGCAGAGGAGGGCGGUGCCGUGACUUGCUCAAGGUCACUCAGAGAGGGCAUGGCUAAUCCAGGCCCCGAACCCAGCUCCAUGUUACAGGACUCUCCUGCGGCCUCGGGUUGGCGGCUCGGAGCCUUCAGUCUCCGGGUUGCUUGCGGUUGCUCCGUCCCGGGGAGGGGCCUCCCCGGCGGAGCGAGCAGCGUCUUCGCUGGAUCUAGCAGAGGUUCUAGGAACACACACUCCACAGACAGCUCUGCAAGGGAGGAGGUAGGAGCCCCAGGAAGGGACAUAACUCAUCCAGGAUCACCAGGAGGUGAGACUCGGAAACCUGGCUCUUUUUCCCAAUGCACAGCUCCUGAAUGGUGGCCUUGUCUUGGGGGCAUUUUUGAACUGAUACUUGAACUGGCAUCUGGGAGAGCGGAAACUCCUCACAAACCCAGGAACUAGUCUUUCUCUGCUU